GAUGAACGCUGGCGGUGUGCCUAACACAUGCAAGUCGAGCGAAUGGAUUAAGAGCUUGCUCUUAUGAAGUUAGCGGCAGACGGGUGAGUAACACGUGGGUAACCUGCCCAUAAGACUGGGAUAACUCCGGGAAACCGGGGCUAAUACCGGAUAACAUUUUGAACCGCAUGGUUCGAAAUUGAAAGGCGGCUUCGGCUGUCACUUAUGGAUGGACCCGGGUCGCAUUAGCUAGUUGGUGAGGUAACGGCUCACCAAGGCAACGAUGCGUAGCCGACCUGAGAGGGUGAUCGGCCACACUGGGACUGAGACACGGCCCAGACUCCUACGGGAGGCAGCAGUAGGGAAUCUUCCGCAAUGGACGAAAGUCUGACGGAGCAACGCCGCGUGAGUGAUGAAGGCUUUCGGGUCGUAAAACUCUGUUGUUAGGGAAGAACAAGUGCUAGUUGAAUAAGCUGGCACCUUGACGGUACCUAACCAGAAAGCCACGGCUAACUACGUGCCAGCCGCCGCCGUAA
rnacentral:rRNA from 1 species